UCCUGUAGGACCACUAUUUAGAACCAAAGACAUCAUUACUUCUAUUACAUGGGAAAAAAUGGGUGGUGUUUUGUAUGACCGUUAACAAGGGUUUUUAUUCGUAACUUUUAACUCUUAAAGCAAUAACACAAGGCAUUAUUUCAGUCUUAAUAUGUCAAAGGAGUGCAAGUUAUUCUCUAUAUUAAAGGGUUAACGCACGUGCCCUCCGUGUGCGCUUCAUUCCGUACAGUGACACUCAUCAAAGACUAACCGGACGCAGCUACUCCUGUAGUAAAAUCCGCUUUAACUGAUAUUAUCUCAAAGAGAAAUAUAAAUGCAUCUCAUACUCUCGGAGUAUUAGCGCAGAAUAUAUUAUCCUUAUAGUGGCUGCAGUGGAAACUGCGCUGCUGCGAAGACGCGUUCAACAGAUGGGCGACUGCUCUUCUUCACGGCUGCAGACCUGCACGGACAAAUCUAGCUUUGAUUAAUUAGCAUAAUGCCUGGCCGGGAAUGUUAAUUGACAGACAGCUGCAUUGGCUUAUCGACUAAACGAUCAUCAGUUUGUUGGUUAUUGACGGAAACCCCAAUGCUAUUUUAAGUUGCGGCGUAAAAGGCAACUACAGCGGGCGCCAAAUCACAGUUGUAUCACCUUCAAAUAACAUUACAGUUGCGCGGUGGAUGUAGAGACGGGCUUGAAACGUCGACAUGAUCAUAAUAACCCUCUCCAUGCACUGGCAUCCGUGGUACCGGGAAAAGAAGCGCCGCACUCAGUCAGGCGUCUGGAUGCCCGCAUUCACUGUAGCAGCGAGGAGGAUGGAAGCGCGUGCACGCUGUUCUUUCUCAAGGGACUAGGACGCGCGCGCUGCUUACCUACGUCAGCCGGCGCGUGCUCCAAAUAGAACGCUGGAGAGAAGAACAGAGGACUGUGAAUAACAAAGCACCGAUUAAUGGACUGAUGGAACGGGACAUAAAUACAGUUGUUUCUUUAAUUGACACUGGUAAUUCUCCUUUGCUUGGUGUAAUUUGACAUGUCUGCCGUGUGAAUUUUACUAAAUGCUUUACUAAUUUGUAUUUUUUUUUUUUUUUGUAAUUAACCGCUAUACAGUGGUUGGCAUGCUUACAAAUAAGGGUGCAUGAUAUAUAUUGGGUCCAUAUUGGUGGAGCUGAUGUGUUUUGUGUGGAAACCCAUUUUGACAAUGUGAGUAAAAAGCUACUUGUCAAUUCAU
rnacentral:lncRNA from 1 species